GGACCUCUGGAAUGUAACGAAAACAAAUGAUGUGGGAGAUUAUUCUUACGACGACCAGUGACUUGUUUUACUAAAAUGUUGUAGGAAGAAUCUAGUGCUUAAUACAGCAGUGUGCGUGGCUCGAAGAAGACUUCGUUGGAAUCACGCGUUAAGAAGAGUUGCGACCAUUGUAACAGUUUCCAAUUCUGUGCAACGAUUUCGAACGAUACGGCGCGCAAGAAGAUUCCAGUUCCAGAACAGACGGAUACAAAAUAUUUUCGAAUAUUUCGACAAAUUGAGUAAAUAUGAGUUGGAAGAAAAGGGAGAUUAAACGAGGAAACGAAACUCCGUUACUUUUCAAUUUGCAUCCACGAAGGAAGGGAGAAGCUGCGACUCGACCUUCGAUUUAUCGAACAGGCUAAUUAAAGAUCGCGAAUGCGAUGCUCGAGCUGCCGAGUUUCCGUUCCCAGCCCAGACAGGCCAGGCGCAAUAGGUAAUUACGGAUGGAUUCGAAACAGUGGCUAAUUAACGAAGCUUCUUCGAUGCCGGACACGUUCGCGCCCUUCCCCCGAUACUUCCACGUACAUUUCACGAAUUCCAGAAACAUAGCGUUCCACCACGUCCUCCUCUAAAUUCCCCCGCAAAAUCAGCGAAAUUUCUUCUUACCAUUCUUCCCUUUGCCGUCGCCAAAUCGCGAAUUCCGUUCUUCUUCGGCUUUUCGCCGCCUCUCUCCCCUCCACUUCCCAGUUUUCGCGAAUCCGUUAGAGCUCGUCCGUUUCGUCGCUAAUUACCGCGUCAAUUAGACGGAACGACAUCCUCGAGGAUGGCAGCCAGGUGUGUUUAAAGUACGCAAUUUUGUCGGGUAGCCGAGGCGAGGCGAGGCGAGGCGAGGCGAGGAGGGGGGAGAAAUGGCGCGAUGAAAUACCGUGAGAUGCGGCUCUCGAGAGUCGACGGGGCAAAGAGGAGCUAGCGGAGACCUCUGAGGGGGCUCGUUAUCCGUGUGUACGAGGCUCAGACAAACAGCCUCAUUUGUCACGCGCUGACCUCCCUACCGACCUUCCCCCUCCUCCUCCACCUCCUCGCCUCUUUUACACCACUUCUUACCUUGUCUACGCCGGUUGUUUGCAAUUUUUCCCCCCCAUCGAAUCGAGUAAAUAUAUUUAGAGUCGAGCCAGGAGAGAGAGUAAUUUAUAUAUUCUUGUAUAUAUAUAUAACGAAAGGGAAAACAACCAUAUAUUCGAGAGUAAGUUGUUUUCGACGUCGAGAAUUUUUUAACUUUUACGGAAAUAAGAAUUCUACGCCAAUUUCUAGAUCUAGAUUAUGAAAUAAUUUUUUCGAAAGUGGAAAAAAUAAAUUUUCGGAAUUUUUGAAAUAGCGUGUCUCGUUUUCUAUAACAAGGAAUUUAACGAAUAAGCGUAGGACGAUAACGAUAUAUCAAAAAGUCAACGAUUCUAUUAUAAAUUUUCUAUUCGUCGAAUUCGAGUCUGGUAUCGUUCGAUUCAUUUGUAAAUCUGCGAAGAGAAUUUUCGUAACGUAUCGUGGCUGGAGGCACGGUUCAACGAUAAUGUCCUAUCGCCGACUUUGCUUUUCCGAGAAGGUGACCAACCGGAAAUUAAAAUAACCAUGGAUACCAGCAUCUAUUGUAAAUUUGUAUAUAAUGGAAUAAACUUGAAUUUAUCCGAUAUCUCGCUCGUAAUUUACGCGAAAAACUAUUUCGACUUAGCUCGCAACAAAUGGAAUAUAAUGGAAUGUAACAUUCGCAACAAAUGGAAUAUAAAUGGUGCGAAACAAAUUUCUUCGAACGUGUGUAUAUACUUGAUAUUAAAAUAUUGGGACGAAAAUACGCGGGGUAUGGAAAAUGUUCGUGUAAAAAAAAAAAAGAAAAAAAUAUUCGACCGCUUGCGAACGCGGCAAAAUGAUCGAUAAUCUCGCGAAAUUUCUGUUCGGAGAGAUACCGCAAAGGUGGCGCUAAUGUAUUAGGUCGACUUAAUUAAAUCGACUCGAUUGAUCGAGGAGUAUAUUUCAAACGCGGCUAUGUUCACGUUGUAGCUCGCCUUGUACAUUCCGCCUAUAAACGAACGACGGGAACAAACGUCGGUAAUGUGCCUAUGGAACGAGUGUAUUUUUCAAACGUCACGGAUUAGAUUGGAGAAAGGGAGAAAUUAAACGGGGAUGUUGGUUAGGUCGUACAGGUUAGGGAAAAAUGUGUGGGAAACUGCGAGACCAGAACGAAGUGCGAAAAAUGUUAAGAGAUUAUCGAGUUAGGUUAGGUUAACGAAUAUGGAGAGAGUAUAUAAAUUCGUUCGAUCGUUACGAGUGAUAAAUCGAUUAAUAUUUCAAGGAUAGAUAUAUUUAUAAAGUCGUAUGUAUUCUUAUCCUCGUUAAACGUUAAUCUUGCGUGCAUCGAUUCGAACAAUUCGACGAAACGAAGAUUGCCGCAAUUAGAGCGAUAGAAUCGAUAAUGCGAUUGUAACGAAUGUUGAAUUUUCAGUACGGUUACGUCGGAUUAUUAUCGAUUGUAAACAAUCCUUGGCAUUAAACUAUAUCGAGAUUUAUAACAGAUUAUCGUAUAUACCCUUUCUCCCAACCGCUGCAUACAACGUUGGUGGUCGUUUAUUAUUUGUCCAACGAUAAUUUAUUUAUCUCUGAUUAUUACAGCGUACAACAAAAUUGAAGUUUGCCAAAGGUAAAUUGUCUAAAUACCACCUGUGCGCACACAUAACGACAGUUCAAAUGGAGAUUUUAUUGAAGUUAAUCCACGCAUACGAGCUUUCUCGUCCAAGUAACGAUCGUCGACGGAUAGUUUAUUCUUUAUCCAUCCUUCUCCGGCUAAUUUCGCAAAAAUAUCUGAAACAAAAAUUCUAUUAUCAGUUAUCAGUUUAGAGUGAGUAAUUGGAAUUCGAAUUUUCAUUUCUUUUCAAACGAUAUUUUAAUCAAUUACGACUUUUUAACGAAAUGUUGGAAAGAAAGAAAAAAAAACGAAUGGAACAACGGGAAGAUAAUUUGAGUGGAAUAACGUUUCGAAGAAAAUUUUCGGGAAACGGAUUAUUCGAGCAACGUAAUAGGAAGAUAUAUCUGUAUCGUGGACGAGAUAUAUCUAUCACCGAGCGAUAUGCUAGUCAACAUUAUGCGGCAUCGAUAUUCUGAUUACCAAUUAAUCCCAUGAUGCAUCAUUCGAUGAUUUCAGGGAAACUAGGGAACUAUGCCAUAAGUCUCCGAUCAUUUGACGCGUUUUAGGAUAGAAUAGUUUAUUCGAAAGUCCUUCGAUCGAAUUAAUAUUAUUAUCAUCAUCGAGAUCGUAAUUUUAUUUCGAUCAACGAAGAUGCGUGCGGUUUCGACGAUCGAUCCCAGCGACAGGAAGAGCAUCGCUCUCCUCGCUCAACGCAACAACGAAACGAAUUAUUUUCACGCGGAUGAAAUAACGUUAAUUGGGCAACUUGUAAAAAAAGGUUGAAGUAAAAUUAGCAGGGCCGACGAAAUUAGAGCGGCAACUUUGUUCUCUUUCGGAUAUCUCAUUAAAAUUGUUUAGUGCUUGCCAACUCGGCCCAACGAUAUUACGGCUAGCUCGUUAGCCGCUAGAAUGGAUAGCUACGUCGAUGUACAAUGACAUUAUACCCCGGAGAACCGCAACCCUGUUAAAUAAAGCUCGCUUAUGUUUUGACAAGCUCAAGUGCACGAAAUGAAUAAUCCGCGAGAAAUUAAAACGAGCAAAGUUUCGAGCCGACGAGGG
rnacentral:lncRNA from 1 species